UGAGUAACGCGUAUCCAACCUGCCGUCUACUCUUGGACAGCCUUCUGAAAGGAAGAUUAAUACAAGAUGGCAUCAUGAGUCCGCAUGUUCACAUGAUUAAAGGUAUUCCGGUAGACGAUGGGGAUGCGUUCCAUUAGAUAGUAGGCGGGGUGACGGCCCACCUAGUCUUCGAUGGAUAGGGGUUCUGAGAGGAAGGUCCCCCACAUUGGAACUGAGACACGGUCCAA
rnacentral:rRNA from 1 species